GACGAACGCUGGCGGCGUGCCUAAUACAUGCAAGUUGAGCGAUGAAGAUUGGUGCUUGCACCAAUUUGAAGAGCAGCGAACGGGUGAGUAACGCGUGGGGAAUCUGCCUUUGAGCGGGGGACAACAUUUGGAAACGAAUGCUAAUACCGCAUAACAACUUUAAACAUAAGUUUUAAGUUUGAAAGAUGCAAUUGCAUCACUCAAAGAUGAUCCCGCGUUGUAUUAGCUAGUUGGUGAGGUAAAGGCUUACCAAGGCGAUGAUACAUAGCCGACCUGAGAGGGUGAUCGGCCACAUUGGGACUGAGACACGGCCCAAACUCCUACGGGAGGCAGCAGUAGGGAAUCUUCGGCAAUGGACGAAAGUCUGACCGAGCAACGCCGCGUGAGUGAAGAAGGUUUUCGGAUCGUAAAACUCUGUUGGUAGAGAAGAACGUUGGUGAGAGUGGAAAGCUCAUCAAGUGACGGUAACUACCCAGAAAGGGACGGCUAACUACGUG
rnacentral:rRNA from 1 species